CUGCAUGUACUGGUAGACCAGGAACAGUUUGUGGUUCUUUUGGUUUGCACUAGGAUGCAAAAGUAAGGAAUCCCUGUGCUUUCUGCCCAUCUUUGUGGCAGCUCAGAUUGAAUUGGGGACCACAUCA
ensembl:snoRNA